rnacentral:rRNA from 1 species
AGAGUUUGAUCCUGGCUCAGGAUGAACGCUAGCUACAGGCUUAACACAUGCAAGUCGGAAGGGGAAACGAUAUUAGGAAGUCUUGCUUCCGAUAGGCGUCGACCGGCGUACGGGUGAGUAACGCGUAUCCAACCUGCCCACCACGUUGGGGAUAACCUUGCGAAAGUAAGACUAAUACCCAAUGACGUCUCUAGAAGACAUCUGAAAGAGAUUAAAGAUUUAUCGGUGAUGGAUGGGGAUGCGUCUGAUUAGCUUGUUGGCGGGGUAACGGCCCACCAAGGCGACGAUCAGUAGGGGUUCUGAGAGGAAGGCCCCCCACAUUGGAACUGAGACACGGUCCAAACUCCUACGGGAGGCAGCA